AAAAAGUAAAAAGAAAUUUUAAAUAAUACAUUGAUGGCUCUGAUCUACAAAAUCAUGAGCAAAAAAUAUUGAUUCCAUUUCCAGGUUUCAUCUCUCCUACUGUUCAUUAAGACAUGAAACUUAUCCCAGCAUAAGAUCAACACCUCUUGCUUCUUUCAAAAUAAUUUUGUUUCUAUUGACGUGCCAUAUUCGCGCUAUAGGCUAGACCCCACACUAAAAGUAUUAUCUCCCCAACUGGUGCUAACAGCGCCCAAGGGGUUUUAUCUUGAAAAAAUUCGCCUCUAUGGGAGAGAGAGGAUAUUAGUGCUUAUAAGCAACUUAGCCCCUCGACUCCCAACCGAAGUGAGACAUUGGGUAUUAACAUAGCCUCCCAGUGACAUCCCAGUGACAAGGGACUUGGGAAGAGGCACAUGACCAUGUUCCCAUAGACGGUUGUGCUAGAUCAGUGCCAUGGGUUAGGCCCCACACCUGAUGCUAAUAGCGACUCAGGGGAGUUUUAUCUUGAAAAGGCGCCUCUGAGAGAGGAAAGACUAAUGCUUAUAAGCGACCAAGCUCCUCCACUUCUAAUCAUCAACAGUUUCAAAUGAUACUGUUAUAAAAUAAGCUCAACCAGGACAAUGCAACACAUUUACAAAAUAUUUGCAGAAUGAUACAAUCAAGGUUCCUUCCACCUAAUGCCAUUGCCAAGACGAUGAAAACGCUCGGAUUGUAGGUCAUGAGGCUCAGCAGAUCUGUCACAGCACCAUAAAUUUUACUGGAGUAAGAAAAUUACUAAAUAUCUCACAAAUUAUAUUGUACUGUCAACUCGAGCAACAAAUUUAGGGAACUCGUUAAGCAAUUUUUGGAUAGCUUCUUCAUGUAUACUCAAAAGAAUAUCAUCCAUACAACUAGCUAACAAAAAAAAAAAUGAUGCUAUAGAACUCACCCGUUCAAAAAAAUACAGACGAAAAAGAGCAGAAAACACCACCAAGAAACUUGUAUCUAAACCAUAUCACAUCAAAAGGAGUUGCGUCUUGGUCUUUCUUCAGCAACAUUUACUCUGAUUGCCCUCCCAUCAAGAGUCUGCAAAACCACACCACCACAAAUGAUAAAAAAGAAACCAUAUGAUAUUAGUAGUCUUUGCACUAACAAAUAAUGAAAUAACUAUUAAUAGAAAAAUUCACAUCCAUUUCUUUUCUAAAUUCCAAGUUCAUGUGACCAAUCUGGUGGUUGUUGGUAACUUGAGAAAAGAAGUUGCCAAUUAUAAAUCUAUGUUGCUAUCAAUUGCUUUUCCAUAUGAAAAUUAUAAAGAAUGACCAAGUUCCAUGAAAAGUGUACUUUCACAUACCUGUCCAUCAAGUGCCGCUAUAGCAUCAUUCAACUCAGUCUCAGUGGACAUGGUUACAAAGCCAAAACCACGUGAACGGCCAGUUUCCCUGUCAUAAACUACUCGAGCAUCCACCACCUUACCAUGUUCACUAAAAACUUGCUCCAAGCGAGCAUUAUCUAAAUCCCAUGGCAAGUUACCCACAUAGAUCCUAAAAGCUGGUUCAUAUACACGAGGGGGGCGUUCAGGCCUUGAUCCUCGAGGAGCAGCCUUGUUUACAGUCAAGAGUCUUCCAUUUAAAUCCUGUUCAAAUAAAAAUAUAGCAGAAAGCAACCUUGUUAGAGGAAAAAAUAAAUAAACUGGAGACAAUGCAUGACAAAGCAUGCAAGAUCUGAGUCAUCCGUUGUGACAUGAUCAACAAAGGAAAUUUUAUGUCUAACAUUCUUAUGGUAUUUGCCAAUUUUAAAUGAGGAAGGGUGAAGCACUAUCUGCUAUGCCAGCUAAAUGAAAGAUUCCAUGAACAUAGUGCUACUUAGAUUAGCAUGCCAAAGAGAAGCUUAUGACAACCAAUUACGGGCAAAAAUGUUUUGCCACCUCCAAACAGAUAUAUAUAGAAUCAGCCAACACGGAAAACAUUUUUUUGCAAGAGGAGAAAGAUACGAGUUGAUGACUAAUUCUCAUCCAAACACUAGCCAUUUACUAUUGAUGUUAUUAACAACUAGUUUCCACAGAAUAUUAACCAAAAUUAGACAGCUUAUUUUACUUGAUCAACAAGUUCUCAUCCCUUUCCAGUCAAAUCACAACGUUGUAGUAAGGAAAGACGACAUUGAAGUGGUAAUAAUAGUAAAAACUUUUCAAUCCACAACAUUCAGCUGAUAAGUUCCAACAGAAUGUAGGAUGAAAUUGAACAACAGAGCUACAUUAAUACAGCAAAAACACCUCUAGGCAUCUUGUAAGACAAAACUACGGCAAUAAGGAAUGACUGGAUUAUUAUCCAAUAUUUCUAAUAUCAUAUAUCUAUGCAUAUUUAAUGUUAAAACGCCGGUGGCACAGAAGAGCUAGCUGAGAGCAGGGGACUUCUGCAUGGUAAGUAGUAUAUCAAAGCAUCAUUAUCUCAAACACUGCCUAUUCACUUUCCCUGAUAUUCAUUUCUUUCAUAACUAGUUCAGAUAAAUGCUUAAAUUGCACAAAUCUAGUGGGAUAGGGAAAGAAAAGAAAGAAAUUUACGUAGCGAUGAAACAUCUCCACAGCCUUCUCUGCUUCCUCUACGACACUCAUAGUCACAAACCCAAAUCCACGACUUGAAUCAGUUUCCCUGUUGUAAAUAACCUCAGCAAUCUCAACAGUUCCAGCCUGCUCAAAUAGCAUAGCCAACUUCUGACUAUCGACAUCAUAAGGCAAAUUCCCCACAAAAAUCUUCGCAUCCUCAGGUGGCUCCACAAAGCCCUCCUCUGUGUCAGCUUCCUCAAAACCCCCUUCUUUGACACUCUCUCCAUCACUCCCGACCGCCUCCACCACUGCAUCUUCUCCGUCAGCCUCCCAAUCAGAAACUUGGGCUUCAGCGCCAUCACUUGCUUUAUUUUCCCAUGUCGGUUCUUCUUGUUCUGAUUCUGUUAGAGUGAUUGUAGAGUCGCCUUCCUCUUCUCGCUGGGUCCAAUCAGAGGUCUGGGCUACAAAGGUAAUAAAGGAACAAAAAUGGGUUUUGGGUUUGAGAGAAAGAGAUGAUAGGGAGUAAGAGGAGUAUGAAAGGCGGAGCUUAAUGGGUCUGUGUGGAACUGAGAGACAUUGGCAGGGAGGUUUUGAGGUAAAAAUGGAAGGGAGUGACAGAAGGCAUGAGUCUGCCCUUGAUAGAGGCUUGAAGGUAUAAGUUGCUGUGGCAGACAUUUUUACGGAGGAUGAUAGGGGUUUAGAGGAGGGCUGAGGAUAAGGGGCAGACUG
rnacentral:misc_RNA from 1 species